rnacentral:lncRNA from 1 species
CAGGUAUACUGGAGUGAUGGAGGUAGAUAUGUAUAGGGGGAAGGGGACAGGUAUACUGGAGUGAUGGAGGUAGAUAUGUAUAGGGGACAGGGAUACUGGAGUGAUGGAGGUAGAUAUGUAUAGGGGGAAGGGGACAGGGAUACUGGAGUGAUGGAGGUAGAUAUGUAUAGGGGACAGGGAUACUGGAGUGAUAGAGGUAGAUAUGUAUAGGGGGAAGGGGACAGGGAUACUGGAGUGAUGGAGGUAGAUAUGUAUAGGGGGAAGGGGACAGGGAUACUGGAGUGAUGGAGGUAGAUAUGUAUAGGGGUAAGGUGACAAAAUACAGGGUCAGUACCAUAUUAACAAUGUACAGGGAUACUGGAGGGAUGGAGGUAGAUAUGUAUAGGGGUAAGGGGACAGGGAUACUGGAGUGAUGGAGGUAGAUAUGUAUAGGGGGAAGGGGACAGGGAUACUGGAGUGAUGGAGGUAGAUAUGUAUAGGGGGAAGGUGACUAUAUACAGGGUCAGUACCAUAUUAACAAUGUACAGGGAUACUGGAGGGAUGGAGGUAGAUAUGUAUAGGGGGAAGGGGACAGGGAUACUGGAGUGAUGGAGGUAGAUAUGUAUAGGGGGAAGGUGACUAUAUACAGGGUCAGUACCAUAUUAACAAUGUACAGGGAUACUGGAGUGAUGGAGGUAGAUAUGUAUAGGGGUAAGGUGACUA